rnacentral:rRNA from 1 species
UACGUAGGGGGCAAGCGUUGUCCGGAAUCAUUAGGCGUAAAGCGCGUGUAGGCGGCUAGGUAAGUCUGCUCUGAAAGCCCGGGGCUCAACCCCGGGAGGCGGGUGGAUACUGUCUAGCUCGAGUCCGGAAGAGGAGUGUGGAAUUCCUGGUGUAGCGGUGAAAUGCGCAGAUAUCAGGAGGAACACCAAUGGCGAAGGCAGCACUCUGGGACGUGACUGACGCUGAGACGCGAAAGCGUGGGGAGCAAACAGG